rnacentral:rRNA from 1 species
ACGGAAGGCAGCAGUGGGGAAUAUUGCACAAUGGGGGAAACCCUGAUGCAGCGACGCCGCGUGAGUGAAGAAGUAUUUCGGUAUGUAAAGCUCUAUCAGCAAGGAAGAAAAUGACGGUACUUGACUAAGAAGCCCCGGCUAACUACGUGCCAGCAGCCGCGGUAAUACGUAGGGGGCAAGCGUUAUCCGGAUUUAUUGGGUGUAAAGGGUGCGUAGACGGGAAAUUAAGUUAGUUGUGAAAUCCCACGGCUCAACUGUGGAACUGCAACUAAAACUGAUUUUCUUGAGUACUGGAGAGGAAAGUGGAAUUCCUAGUGUAGCGGUGAAAUGCGUAGGUAUUAGGAGGAACACCAGUGGCGAAGGCGACUUUCUGGACAGAAACUGACGUUGAGGCACGAAAGUGUGGGGAGCAAACAGGAUUAGAUACCCUGGUA